rnacentral:rRNA from 1 species
UCAGAACGAACGCUGGCGGCAGGCUUAACACAUGCAAGUCGAGCGCCUCGCAAGAGGAGCGGCAGACGGGUGAGUAACGCGUGGGAAUCUACCCAUCUCUACGGAACAACUCCGGGAAACUGGAGCUAAUACCGUAUACGUCCUUCGGGAGAAAGAUUUAUCGGAGAUGGAUGAGCCCGCGUUGGAUUAGCUAGUUGGUGGGGUAAUGGCCUACCAAGGCGACGAUCCAUAGCUGGUCUGAGAGGAUGAUCAGCCACACUGGGACUGAGACACGGCCCAGACUCCUACGGGAGGCAGCAGUGGGGAAUAUUGGACAAUGGGCGCAAGCCUGAUCCAGCCAUGCCGCGUGAGUGAUGAAGGCCCUAGGGUUGUAAAGCUCUUUCAACGGUGAAGAUAAUGACGGUAACCGAGA